UACGUAGGGUCCGAGCGUUGUCCGGAAUUAUUGGGCGUAAAGGGCUCGUAGGCGGUUUGUCGCGUCGGGAGUGAAAACUCGGGGCUCAACCCCGAGCCUGCAGUCGAUACGGGCAGACUAGAGUGCUGUAGGGGAGACUGGAAUUCCUGGUGUAGCGGUGAAAUGCGCAGAUAUCAGGAGGAACACCGGUGGCGAAGGCGGGUCUCUGGGCAGUAACUGACGCUGAGGAGCGAAAGCGUGGGGAGCAAACAGG
rnacentral:rRNA from 1 species